rnacentral:rRNA from 1 species
UACGUAGGGUGCAAGCGUUGUCCGGAAUUAUUGGGCGUAAAGAGCUUGUAGGCGGUUUGUCGCGUCUGCUGUGAAUUUCGGGGCUCAACCCCGAACUUGCAGUGGGUACGGGCAGACUAGAGUGUGGUAGGGGAGACUGGAAUUCCUGGUGUAGCGGUGAAAUGCGCAGAUAUCGAGAGGAACACCUGCGGCGAAGGCGGGUUGCUGGGCUGACACUGACGCUGAUGCGCGAAAGCCAGGGGAGCGAACGGG